rnacentral:lncRNA from 1 species
CUUUGGAUACAAGUAAUAGAAAUUAGGGAUAGAUGGGGAAUUUCACAGGCUGUCUGGAAGACCUGCACGACCAGCCUGAGUGAGACAGGAGUCAGGGCAGCUCCGGACUUUCACUCAGCAGCACAGCUCCAGGCUCAUUUCUCUGGGUGCCGCCAUUGAUGUGUCUUAGCGCCAACAUCCCCAGCCCCUUCCCAGUUCUCUGCAGAGAGGCUGAUUAUCCGGCCUGUGUCAGGUGAACUCUUGGAUCAAGCAGGUAUGGCCAGGCAGUAAAGCAGACUUCACAUUUAGACUCCUAGGAGUCAAAGAGUAGAAUGGACACUCUUCACAGAUCCACCGCUAGGCUUGCCUCCUUUAUUUUCUUUCCCGGACUUCUCUACGUCCAAGCAGAUAAAAAGAUUUUUAAAGAAGCUCUAUGGACAUUCUCAUCCUCUUCUUUUGGUGUAUUGCCCAAAUCCUUUAUGUGACAGUUGCUGUUGAUCUGUACUUAGGACGGAGCAGAAGGUCACAGGCAGUGAGCUGGCUUCGGCCCAUGGCUGGGAGUCUACCCACACCUGGACGAGGCUGUCACCACCUCGAAGGAAGGAUUACCUGUAAGAUGUAAAACAUCAUCCCUGGGCAGCACGGGGCACACAGAAGACAGUACAUAGAUGCUUACUUUUCAUCGAGUCUGGAUGUUCCUGAAAUCAACAGGAGGCAAAGAACUUUAGCUCGCUUGUAGCAAUAACCACUGUGCAUAGAAACACACAGGUACGUUAAAACAUGCUGCCCCAGGGUAAUAACUUUAGUUUCACUCCUGAAAGAAAUUAUUCUAGGACUAAAAUUAGAGACUAACUGAAAAGCCUACAUUGAGCAAAGUUAAACAGGCUAUUGCCUUCUUACUAGAAAGCAAAUAUGUCAUGUCAAAUUGAUUGUACAAAGAGCUCAAGCUCAUAUAUAAAUUCUUCUACUGGGUCUCGUUAUUGCUUUUGAAGUUCCUCAUCUUUAAUCAGUUUAAUCUAGCAACAUCCCACAAGGGUUUGUGUGCAUGUGCAACAAGAGUGUAAAGAUAAGAGUGUUGAGACACAGCGUAGUUAGGAAACUUGCCUGAAGUCACACAGCUAUGGCACACACAGCCCGAUUGAGACCCAAGCAGUAGGACCCUAGAACUCCUUCUUUUCAUCACUGUGCUAUUUUUAAAUCACCAC